rnacentral:rRNA from 1 species
UACGAAGGGGGCUAGCGUUGUUCGGAAUCACUGGGCGUAAAGCGCUCGUAGGCGGAUCUUUAAGUCAGGGGUGAAAUCCCGAGGCUCAACCUCGGAACUGCCUUUGAUACUGGGGGAUCUCGAGUCCGGGAGAGGUGAGUGGAACUGCGAGUGUAGAGGUGAAAUUCGUAGAUAUUCGCAAGAACACCAGUGGCGAAGGCGGCUCACUGGCCCGGUACUGACGCUGAGGAGCGAAAGCGUGGGGAGCAAACAGGG